rnacentral:rRNA from 1 species
UACGGAGGGUGCAAGCGUUGUUCGGAAUUAUUGGGCGUAAAGGGCGCGUAGGCGGUUAUGUAAGUCAGAUGUGAAAUACUUCGGCUUAACCGAAGAACUGCAUUUGAUACUACAUAGCUAGAGUACAGAAGAGGGAAAUGGAAUUCCCAGUGUAGAGGUGAAAUUCGUAGAUAUUGGGAAGAACACCAGUGGCGAAGGCGGCUAUCUGGACCGGUACUGACGCUGAGGUGCGAAAGCGUGGGGAGCAAACAGG